rnacentral:rRNA from 1 species
AGAGUUUGAUCAUGGCUCAGGACGAACGCUGGCGGUGCGCCUUAUGCAUGCAAGUCGAGCGAAGCUUUUCAGUAGUUUACUACAGAAAAUGACUGAGCGGCGAACGGGUGAGUAACGCGUGAGCAAUCUACCUUAGUUACAGGGAUAGCCCGAGGAAACUCGGAUUAAUACCUGAUAUUCUUUAUUUCUCGCAUGAGAAUAAAAGGAAAGGUCAGCCGAACUAAGAUGAGCUCGCGUUCUAUCAGCUAGUUGGUGAGGUAAAAGCUCACCAAGGCUACGACGGAUAGCUGGUCUGAGAGGACGCAUCCGGACCCACACUUGGGACUCUGAGAACACGGCCCCAGACUCUCUACGGGAGGCUGCACGCAAGGGAAUAUUGCGCAAUGAGCGAAAGCUUGACGCAGCGACAACCCGCGUGUGGGAUGACGGAUCUAGGUUUGUAAACCACUUUCAGGAGGGAAGAAAAUGACGGUACCUCCACAAGAAGCCCCGGCCAACUACGUGCCAGCAGCCGCGGUAAUACGUAGGGGGCGAGCGUUGUCCGGAUUUAUUGGGCGUAAAGAGCUCGUAGGCGGUUCAACAAGUCGGUCGUGAAAGUUCAGGGCUCAACCCUGAAAUGUCGAUCGAUACUGUUGUGACUAGGAUACGGUAGAGGUGAGUGGAAUUCCGAGUGUAGCGGUGAAAUGCGUAGAUAUUCGGAGGAACACCAAUAGCGAAAGGCAGCUCACUGGGCCGCUAUCGACGCUGAGGAGCGAAAGCUAGGGGAGCAAACAGGAUUAGAUACCCUGGUAGUCCUAGCUGUAAACGAUGGAUACUAGACGUAGGAACUGGAUUGACGGUUUCUGUGUCGCAGCUAACGCGUUAAGUAUCCCGCCUGGGGAGUACGGUCGCAAGACUAAAACUCAAAGGAAUUGACGGGACCCCGCACAAGCGGCGGAGCAUGCGGCUUAAUUCGAUGAUACCCGUAGAACCUUACCUGGACUUGACAUAUAGGGUCUAGCUAUAGAGAUAUAGUGUGCAUUAGCGCCUUAUACAGGUGGGUGCAUGGCUGGUCGUCAGCCUCGUGUUCUUGAGAUGUUGGGUUCAAUAGUGUUUCUCCCGCACAGACAGAGCGCCAACCCCUGUUUCUUUAUGUUGUGCUGACGCACAUUAUAGUUGGGGACUCUCAUCAGGAGACUGCUCGCGCGUUGUAUGUAUAUACCCACGGAUGGAAGUUGGUGGACGACGUCAAGUCAUCAUGCCCCUUAUGUCCAGGGCUGCACGCAUGCUACAAUGGCAAGUACAACGAGUCGCAAUACCGCGAGGUGGAGCAAAUCUCUUAAAGCUUGUCUCAGUUCGGAUAGGAGUCUGCAACUCGACUCCUUGAAGUUGGAGUCGCUAGUAAUCGCAAAUCAGCAAAGUUGCGGUGAAUACGUUCUCGGGGUUUGUACACACCGCCCGUCAAGUCACGGAAGUCGGCAAUACCCGAAGCCAGUGGUCCAACCCUUUUAGGGAGGAAGCUGUCGAAGGUAGGGUCGGUAACUGGGACUAAGUCGUAACAAGGUAGCC